GCAGUCUUACGGCUUAAUAUUAAAGCAUGGAAUGAUAAAUAAUGACAUCGGUUAAUUUUUGUUGGUUUGAGAGGCUGAUGUAAUGAUUUAUAGAGUUAGUCGGAGGUAUUAGUAUUUUGUCGUUAGAAGUGAAAUUCCGGGAUCGACAAAAGACUAACAACUGCGAAAGUAUUUGCCUAGAAUUUGCUCCUUGAUCAAGAACGUAAGUUGGGGGAUCGAAGACGAUCAGAUACCGUCGUAGUCUCAACUUUAAACUAUAUCAGCUAGGGGUUGGCAAAUGUUUAUAUGACUUUGUUAGAACCUUAUGAGAAAUCAAAGCGUUUGGGUUCCGGGGGGAGUAUGGUCGCAAGGCUGAAACUUAAAGGAAUUGACGGAAGGGCACCACAAGAUGUGGAUCCUGUGGCUUAAUUUGACUCAACACUGGAAAACUCACCAGGUCCAGACAUAGGUAGGAUUGACAGAUUGAUAGCUUUUUCUUGAUUCUAUGGGUGGUGGUGCAUGGUCGUUCUUAGUUGGUGGAGUGAUUUGUCUGGUUAAUUCCGUUAACGAACGAGACUAUCACUUACUAAAUAGUACAUUUUUUUAAAUAGAAUAUUUGCUUCUUAGAGGGACUGGUUUUGUAUAAAUUGCUGGAAGUUGGUAGCAAUAACAGGUCUGUGAUGCCCUUAGAUGUUCUGGGCAGCGCACGGGCUACAAUAGAAGAGUAAGUGAGUUUGUUCGACUUAGCUCGAAAAGGGCUGUGGAAUCUUAAAUUUUUUUUUUAUAUGGAAUUACGCUUUGAAAUUUUAACGUGUAAACUAGGAAUACCUAGUAAGUGUAUGUCAUCAACGUGCAU
rnacentral:rRNA from 1 species